AGGAUGACCUUUAACUCCAGGUCCCCACUCCCCCUACCCGCCAGGGCUGGGAUUACAGGUUUGCAGCACCUGCCUGGCAUUGCGGUUGAUUCUGAGGUGCUUUCUGAUGGACCUCCUUUUCUGUCCUUCUACCCUGCACCGGUUCGUUGUGGGGACUUCCCUGAAGGACUGUAUCUGUACCGUGGGAUAUUUUUCAAGAUCCCUGACUACCACCUACUACAUCCUUUUUAAACAUAAAUUUGUUUAUAUGUGCCUGUAGGUGGGUACAUACGUGCCACAGCAUGUGUAUGGAGGUCAGAGGGCAGCUUGUGGAAGUCAGUUCUUUCCCUUCACCACGUGGAUUCAAGGGAUUGAAUCUGGGUGGCACCGGGCCUGGUACGAAGUGCUUUCACCUCCUAAGUCACCCUGCUUGCCUUAGGCUUUAUCUGUGGAGGAAAAUGUCUCUCUAUGUCCGCCACUGUCCCGGGGUUGAGAAGUUCUGCCUCAGAGCCCUGUGCCAGGAAUCCUCUACACUGGGUAGCAGUGCUGAUUGGCAUUGGUCUAGCGAUCAGGGUGAAACAAGGAACUGAUGUCAGCUUCUACGGAAUUUCAUUCCGAUUCCUCGGAAUUCCACACGUGGGGAAAUGGGGUCGCCUUCGGGGGCCCCAGGCCUCAGAGAGUCUGCUCUAUGCUCGUUCUAGCUUUGUUCCUUCCUCUGGGAGGAUUCAGCAGGAUCACGCCCACCGCAGUCUCCGCUCUUCCUCUAGACCACGGUCUGGGCACCAGAGUUCCUCAGGCACAACAGUCAAUUCCGUUUUCAAGACUUACACGGCCUCCUCUCACUGUGGGCCAUGCCUCAAGGACGGCCCGAAUGGGCCACUAGGUGUUAGUGCUUGUGGUUGUUGUUUCUGGUCAUGUGACAGAGCAUAGACAUACCAGCGGUAUUCUGAAAGUGUCAGACAAAGGCCUGUCUGCCACCACAAGCCGUCCAACAAAAUGUAGCUGAGGGGGCUGGAGAGAUGGCGCAGCAGUUAAGAGCACUGGCUGCUCUUCCGGAGGACCUGGAUUCCGUUCCCAGCACCCAACAGAGAUCUGUAAUUCCAGUUCCAGGGGACGCCACACCCUCUUCUGGCCUCAGAGGAUAGUCAUACGUGUGCUGCAGGCGCUUGCAGGCCCCGCACCAAUACAUAUAGAAUAAAAAUAAACAUCUGUUAAAAACAUGUUUGAGAGGAGCAGCUCCAUGUCUUCUAUGUACAUUUCCUCAUCUGUCACGUUCUUCAGCUGUGCACGAGUGAGCUCUGUCCCAAGCAGAUGGCCAGAAGGGACAAGAGUCUGAGAACCCUCUGUGCAGCCAAGAAUGGAGGCUUUGUAUCUCCCCUCCCAUUAUCAGUGAAACACUCCCGGGGAAACACGCCUUGGGGAAGCGUUCCUGGUAGGUGUCUUCUCUGCUUGUCUCUGAAUAACACACAAAGCUGCCUUCCAUGGCCAGACGCUGCCGAGUGAGACUUCGCCUCCGCAGGGAAGUGGCUCUGUCCUGUCCCCAGAUGGAUGAAUCACUCUCUUGAUUUGGAACCCUCACAGCCUGUUACUCACACCCUGGCUAAUUCCUGACCGAUUACAGCUUGCACAGGUUAGAUCCUGAGCCCCGACCUAUUUUGUCAGCAUGGUGUCUGCCAGCCCCUCGCUUCAUGUGACCACUGUGAAGACCAGGAACAUCUGGAAAAAGGAAGAUUUAAAAAAUAUUGUAUCUGUUUAUUUUAUAUUUUUAUUAGUAUUGUUAAUUAUAAUGACAAUCUCAUCAUGACUUUUUUAUACACAUAUAAAAUGUAUUUUGAUCACA